CAAUAAGCAAAAUAAGGGCGUAUGGGGGAUGCCUAGGCUCUCAGAGGCGAAGAAGGACGUGAUAAGCUGCGAAAAGCUGCGGGGAUUGGCACAUACGAAUUGAUCCGCAGAUAUCCCAAUGGGGCAACCCACUAUGUUGAAGACAUAGUAUCCAAUAGGAGGCGAACCCGCUGAACUGAAACAUCUAAGUAGGCGGAGGAGAAGAAAACAAAAGUGAUUGCGUAAGUAGUGGCGAGCGAAAGCGCAUUAGCCCAAACCAGUGUUGUUACGGCAAUACUGGGUUGUAGGACCACAAUAUUUCUUGUAAACCGAAUUAGAAUAACCUGGAAAGGUUAACCACAGAGGGUGAUAGUCCCGUAUAAGUAAGGAAUAUAAAGGAUAGUGGUAUCCUGAGUAGGGCGGGGCACGUGAAACCCUGUCUGAAUCUGGCGGGACCAUCCGCUAAGGCUAAAUACUCCUGAGAGACCGAUAGUGAACCAGUACUGUGAAGGAAAGGUGAAAAGAACCGUGAAUAACGGAGUGAAAUAGAACCUGAAACCAUACGCCUACAAGCGGUCGGAGCAGCAAAAGCUGUGACGGCGUGCCUUUUGCAUAAUGAGCCUACGAGUUAACGUUGCUGGCAAGGUUAAGCACUUCAGGUGCGGAUCCGUAGCGAAAGCGAGUCUGAAUAGGGCGCUUGAGUCAGUAAUGUUAGACGCGAAACCGUGUGAUCUACCCAUGGGCAGGAUGAAGCUGUGGUAACACAUAGUGGAGGUCCGAACCGGUUGACGUUGAAAAGUCUUCGGAUGACCUGUGGGUAGGGGUGAAAGGCCAAUCAAACUCGGAAAUAGCUCGUACUCCCCGAAAUGCAUUUAGGUGCAGCGCAGUGGUAGAGUUAUAUAGAGGUAGAGCUACUGAUUGGAUGCGGGGGCUUCCACCGCCUACCAAUUCCUGACAAACUCGAAUGCUAUAUAAUAUACACAGCAGUGAGGGCUGGGGUGCUAAGGUCCCAGUCCGAG
rnacentral:rRNA from 1 species